rnacentral:rRNA from 1 species
UACGGAGGGUGCAAGCGUUAUCCGGAUUCACUGGGUUAAAGGGUGCGUAGGUGGGCAGUUAAGUCAGUGGUGAAAUCUCCGGGCUCAACCCGGAAACUGCCAUUGACUACUAUCUGUCUUGAAUAUCGUGGAGGUAAGCGGAAUAUGUCAUGUAGCGGUGAAAUGCUUAGAUAUGACAUAGAACACCAAUUGCGAAGGCAGCUUACUACCCGAAUAUUGACACUGAGGCACGAAAGCGUGGGGAUCAAACAGG